rnacentral:rRNA from 1 species
UACGAAGGGGGCUAGCGUUGCUCGGAAUCACUGGGCGUAAAGCGCACGUAGGCGGCUUUUUAAGUCAGAGGUGAAAUCCUGGAGCUCAACUCCAGAACUGCCUUUGAUACUGGAGAGCUUGAGUCCGGGAGAGGUGAGUGGAACUGCGAGUGUAGAGGUGAAAUUCGUAGAUAUUCGCAAGAACACCAGUGGCGAAGGCGGCUCACUGGCCCGGUACUGACGCUGAGGCGCGAGAGCGUGGGGAGCAAACAGG